GUGCCAGCAGCUGCGGUAAUACAUAGGUCGCGAGCGUUAUUCGGAUUUAUUGGGCGUAAAGCAAGCGCAGGCGGAUGGCUAAGUUCUAUGUUAAAAGCGGCUGCUCAACAGUCGUUUGCAUAGAAUACUAGCCGUCUAGAAUAUGGUAGGAAGUUUUGGAAUUAAAUAUGGAGCGGUGGAAUGUGUAGAUAUAUUUAAGAACACCAGAGGCGAAGGCGAAAACUUAGGCCAUUAUUGACGCUUAGGCUUGAAAGUGUGGGUAGCAAAUGGGAUUAGAUACCCCAGUAGUCCACACCGUAAACGAUGGGUAUUGGGUGUCGGGGCUUGAGCCUCGGUGCUGUAGCUUACGUGUUAAAUACCCCGCCUGGGUAGUACAUAUGCAAAUAUGAAACUCAAAGGAAUUGACGGGGACCUGAACAAGUGGUGGAACAUGUUGCUUAAUUCGAUAAUACACGAAAAACCUUACCAAGGUUUGACAUCCCUCGCGAACCCAUAGAAAUAUGGUGGAGGUUAUCGAGGUGACAGGUGGUGCAUGGUUGUCGUCAGCUCGUGUCAUGAGAUGUUUGGUUAAGUCCCGCAACGAGCGCAACCCUACUCUUUAGUUACUUUUCUAAAGAGACUGAACAGUAAUGUAUAGGAAGGUUGGGAUCACGUCAAAUCAUCAUGCCCCUUAUGCCUUGGGCCGCAAACGUGUUACAAUGGCGAGUACAAUGUGUCGCAAUCUAGCGAUAGUGAGCUAAUCACUAAAACUCGUCUCAGUCCGGAUAAAAGGCUGCAAUUCGCCUUUUUGAAGUUGGAAUCACUAGUAAUCCCGUGUCAGCUAUAUCGGGGUGAAUACGUUCCCAGGUC
rnacentral:rRNA from 1 species